rnacentral:tRNA from 1 species
GCCGGUGUGGCGGAAUGGUAGACGCAGGGGAUUCAAAAUCCCCCGUCCGAAAGGGCAUGUCGGUUCGAGUCCGACCACCGGUA